rnacentral:rRNA from 1 species
AAAUUGAAGAGUUUGAUCAUGGCUCAGAUUGAACGCUGGCGGCAGGCCUAACACAUGCAAGUCGAACGGUAACAGGAAGAAGCUUGCUUCUUUGCUGACGAGUGGCGGACGGGUGAGUAAUGUCUGGGAAACUGCCUGAUGGAGGGGGAUAACUACUGGAAACGGUAGCUAAUACCGCAUAACGUCGCAAGACCAAAGAGGGGGACCUUCGGGCCUCUUGCCAUCGGAUGUGCCCAGAUGGGAUUAGCUAGUAGGUGGGGUAACGGCUCACCUAGGCGACGAUCCCUAGCUGGUCUGAGAGGAUGACCAGCCACACUGGAACUGAGACACGGUCCAGACUCCUACGGGAGGCAGCAGUGGGGAAUAUUGCACAAUGGGCGCAA